GUUGCCUCUUGGCCUUUUGGCUAAGAUCAAGUGUGGUACCUGUUCUUAUUAGUUUAAUAUCUGAUAUGUUGCCUAUCCAACAAUAUAUUAAAUGGAUUUUUGACACCAGGAGAUGAAAUAUAUGCCGAGUAUAUCCCCGAAAAAUGUUUCAAUAUGUCGCUAAACGAAAAUUGUCUGAAUAUUG